CUCCCUCACUUGAAUUUUCGGCCAACACCACCUCUCUCCCUCACACAAUUUUCGCCCAACACACAUACACUCAUCUCUUUCAUUUAUCAAUUCCACCAUUUUCCUCCAUUGAUGAAAACCUUCGAAGCUUCCUAAAAUAUUACCAAACACUUCAAAUCACUAUAAUAUCCUCCAUAAACAUAUUCUAUCCACUUUUAAUCAAGAGAAUCCUUGAAGAAGAAGCUCCAAAGUAGAGUGAGAAAGUGAGAAUUUUGGUGAGAACUUGGGCCCGAGCGAGACGAAGAAGUAAGUUGCCUGAUUUCUUUCCAGAAUAAGCGAAGGACUUCAGGCUAAGCUGGGAGUGAGAUUGGACUGGUGCUGAUGGGGGAGAGUUUCAAAUGAUGUAAAUUAAAUUACUAUUUUGCCUCUAUGAUAAUAGAGUCUUGAUGUUUGAAUUUCUUAGUUUCUUUUGGGAUCAAGCAAUACACUCACGGUUAUGUGUCUUCAUACAUAUAAUCGGUUCGCCUUUUGCUGCGAUACUCUGCAAAUUAUGCUUCCUUAUGAAAAAUGAACUAUACCCGUUUUGUUUUUGUUCGUGAAAUUCCUAAUAAUUAAAAAGUUAUGACAAUGUUGACGAUUUUA